UAUAGGUGUAACACCACUAAUUCAGGCCCGGCCAGAAAGCACAUACCAGAAAGUAGUACAUAUUUAACACAAAAUAGUUCCUACGCAUGGACAUAACUUUCAAAAUAUUUAGAAUAUUUUAUUAAUUUUGGUAUCAAAUGAAAGCUGCAUGACUGGUGAUCAUUGCAGAACAAUUUUUGACUGAUAAAUUUGAAUAAUAAAAAAAUGGCAUGAAAUUUAAAAAGGAGGGUACAUUUUGCCUUUUUGUCAGAUCGGAAGUACCUGUUUUGGUACAUCCGAAGUUCCGGGAACCAGUUCUUUCUUAUAUGCCAUGUAAGGUAUGUUGAUUUUUUCAGUACAGGACACCAGAAGCGGUUGCUUUGACAUGCAAUGAUUGUCACUUUAUUUGAACUUAAGAUAAAAGAGCUGUGACCACUCGAAAUUGAGGAAUUUAACAUAGAAAGCAAUGGGGCCAUUAAUUAGUGGUGUACUUCCUAUUACAGAGAAUCACCAGAAAUCCAAUUUUUAGAAGUUGUACCUAUUCCAAUGAAAAUAAGUCCAAUUUGAUGUUAGUAAUCAUGUUUAAUCAUCUUUUUUUGGUCAACCGUCCUGCUUAUGGGAAAUUUAAGCUCUUAAAUUGGCAUACUCAAGUAUGUUAGCCUUUUAUGGUCAUACAGCAUGCAUGCAGUUAAGACUUGACUCCAAGUUCUUAUUUUUGCAUUUUUUCUGAUUGAAAUCAAUAAAACAAGUAUUUUAUGACUUGUAUAUGGAACAAAAUAGCUCUUGGUCAAAAUAAUCUUAUGAUUUU
rnacentral:lncRNA from 1 species